CCAGUUACCACAAAUAUAGCGACCCCUUGAUAAUGAUAAAAAUAUUCUUCUCGAGCAACACUGUUUAAGUUGCUAUGAGCUAGUUACCAAGGAGCACCCGAAUAAAUAAACAAACAGUUUGAAACAGUUGUGGAAAAAUUCCACAUUUCAUGAUUAUUCAAAAUCAUUUACAAAAAACUGCAAAAAAAAUAAUUCAUUCGAGGGCUGAAUUGUAUAUAAAGUUUGUCAAACGCCGAUGCUUGUUCGAUCUCAGAAAAAGAUAUCAUGAUGGAUUGGUUAGUAUCAUUACUAGUGAAGUUCUCUGGAGCGAUUUGUCAAAAAGUCUACAUUCAAUCGGCUGACACCUACCCGCAUACGCAUGGCUGCCAGACGGCUGACUAAACGCUGCCAGCUGGAAAAAUAUAGCUGGCAGACAUUCUGGUGACCGACUGCCUCACCGCUGGCAGUUAUACAACUCAAACGAUACAACCGUAUCCACCAGGAUUUUUCCACAUUGAAAUCUUUGACACUUUCAGCGAAGGUGAGAAGAUGAAAACGCUCGGCUAACUUAGAUACAGGCGACAUUGUUUUUUCAAAUAGGAUUUGACAACCGUCACUGAAUCAAUUUUGGUAGCCGUCUGGUGGCCAUGGCUGCCCAGGUAGCCAAAACGCUAUGCGGGUAGCGAAGUCCGGACAAUUCGUUGCGUUUUACAGGCUGGACUUCAAAAUAGACGACAUAAAAAGUUGAAACUUUAAACAAGGAAUGUAAGUAUUUCUGGGA